rnacentral:rRNA from 1 species
UCGAACGAGAGAUGAGGAGCUUGCUCUUCAAUCGAGUGGCGAACGGGUGCGUAACGCGUGAGGAACCUGCCUCAAAGAGGGGGACAACAGUUGGAAACGACUGCUAAUACCGCAUAAGCCCACGGCUCGGCAUCGAGCAGAGGGAAAAGGAGCAAUCCGCUUUGAGAUGGCCUCGCGUCCGAUUAGCUAGUUGGUGAGGUAACGGCCCACCAAGGCGACGAUCGGUAGCCGGACUGAGAGGUUGAACGGCCACAUUGGGACUGAGACACGGCCCAGACUCCUACGGGAGGCAGCAGUGGGGAAUAUUGCACAAUGGGGGAAACCCUGAUGCAGCGACGCCGCGUGGAGGAAGAAGGUCUUCGGAUUGUAAACUCCUGUUGUUGAGGAAGAUAAUGACGGUACUCAACAAGGAAGUGACGGCUAACUACGUGCCAGCAGCCGCGGUAAAACGUAGGUCACAAGCGUUGUCCGGAAUUACCGGGUGUAAAGGGAGCGCAGGCGGGAGAACAAGUUGGAAGUGAAAUCCAUGGGCUCAACCCAUGAACUGCUUUCAAAACUGUUUUUCUUGAGUAGUGCAGAGGUAGAUGGAAUUCCCGGUGUAGCGGUGGAAUGCGUAGAUAUCGGGAGGAACACCAGUGGCGAAGGCGGUCUACUGGGCACCAACUGACGCUGAGGCUCGAAAGCAU